CCUACGGGAGGCAGCAGUAGGGAAUCUUCCACAAUGGGCGAAAGCCUGAUGGAGCAACGCCGCGUGGGUGAAGAAGGUCUUCGGAUCGUAAAACUCUGUUGUUAGAGAAGAAAGUGCGUGAGAGUAACUGUUCACGUUUCGACGGUAUCUAACCAGAAAGCCACGGCUAACUACGUGCCAGCAGCCGCGGUAAUACGUAGGUGGCAAGCGUUAUCCGGAUUUAUUGGGCGUAAAGGGAACGCAGGCGGUCUUUUAAGUCUGAUGUGAAAGCCUUCGGCUUAACCGGAGUAGUGCAUUGGAAACUGGGAGACUUGAGUGCAGAAGAGGAGAGUGGAACGCCAUGUGUAGCGGUGAAAUGCGUAGAUAUAUGGAAGAACACCAGUGGCGAAAGCGGCUCUCUGGUCUGUAACUGACGCUGAGGUUCGAAAGCGUGGGUAGCAAACAGGAUUAGAUACCCCAGUAGUC
rnacentral:rRNA from 1 species